AGAUUAGAUACCCUGGUAGUCCACGCCCUAAACGUUGAAUACUCGUUGUUGGCGAUAUACUGUCAGCGACUAAGCGAAAGCAUUAAGUAUUCCACCUGGGGAGUACGACCGCAAGGUUGAAACUCAAAGGAAUUGACGGGGGCCCGCACAAGCGGAGGAGUAUGUGGUUUAAUUCGAUGAUACGCGAGGAACCUUACCUGGGCUUGAAAGUUAGUGACCGAUUCCGAAAGGAGUCUUCUCUUC
rnacentral:rRNA from 1 species